rnacentral:rRNA from 1 species
GAUGAACGCUGGCGGCGUGCCUAAUACAUGCAAGUCGAGCGAACAGACGAUGAGCUUGCUCCUCUGACGUUAGCGGCGGACGGGUGAGUAACACGUGGAUAACCUACUUCUAAUACUGGGAUAACUUCGGGAAACCGGAGAUAAUACCGGAUAAUAUAUUGAACCGCAUGGUUCAAUAGUGAAAGACGGCUUUGCUGUCACUAUUAGAUGGUUCCGCGCCGCAUUAGCUAGUUGGUAAGGUAACGGCUUACCAAGGCGACGAUGCGUAGCCGACCUGAGAGGGUGAUCGGCCACACUGGAACUGAAACACGGUCCAGACUCCUACGGGAGGCAGCAGUAGGGAAUAUUCGGCAAUGGGCGAAAGCCUGACCGAGCCACGCCGCGUGAGUGAUGAAGGUCUUCGGAUCGUAAAACUCUGUUAUUAGGGAAGAACAAAUGUUUAAGUAAACAUGCCCGUCUUGACGGUACCUAAUCAAAAAGCCACGGCUAACUUCGUG